rnacentral:rRNA from 1 species
UUGCCAGACUCCUACGGGAGGCAGCAGUGGGGGAUAUUGCACAAUGGGGGGAACCCUGAUGCAGCGACGCCGCGUGGGUGAAGGAGCGUUUCGGCGCGUAAAGCCCUAUCGGCAGGGAAGAAGGAGGACGGUACCUGACUAAGAAGCCCCGGCUAACUACGUGCCAGCAGCCGCGGUAAUACGUAGGGGGCAAGCGUUAUCCGGAUUUACUGGGUGUAAAGGGGGCGCAGACGGCAGCGCAAGCCAGGAGUGAAAGCCCGGGGCCCAACCCCGGGACUGCUCUUGGAACUGCGCGGCUGGAGUGCAGGAGGGGCAGGCGGAAUUCCUGGUGUAGGAGUGAAAUCCGUAGAUAUCUGGAGGAACAUCAGUGGCGAAGGCGACUAUCUGGCACAUAACUGACGCUGAGGAGCGAAAGCGUGGGUAGCAAACAGGAUUAGAUACCCUGGUAC